rnacentral:rRNA from 1 species
UACGUAGGGACCGAGCGUUGUCCGGAUUCAUUGGGCGUAAAGGGCUCGUAGGCGGCUGCUCAAGUCGAAUGUGAAAACUCGAGGCUCAACCUCGAGCCUGCAUUCGAUACUGGGCGGCUAGAGUCUGGUAGGGGGAUCUGGAAUUCCUGGUGUAGCGGUGGAAUGCGCAGAUAUCAGGAGGAACACCGGUGGCGAAGGCGGGUCUCUGGGCCGAUACUGACGCUGAGGAGCGAAAGCGUGGGGAGCGAACAGG